GGGCCUGUAGCUCAAUGGUAGAGCAGUACCCUCUUAAGGUAACGGUUGAAGGUUCGAGUCCUUCCAGGCUCA
rnacentral:tRNA from 1 species